rnacentral:rRNA from 1 species
UUUUAUCGGAGAGUUUGAUCCUGGCUCAGGACGAACGCUGGCGGCGUGCCUAACACAUGCAAGUCGAACGAUGAAGCCCAGCUUGCUGGGUGGAUUAGUGGCGAACGGGUGAGUAACACGUGAGUAACCUGCCCUUCACUCUGGGAUAA